AUUGACCUCGGAUCAGGUAGGGAUACCCGCUGAACUUNAA
rnacentral:rRNA from 1 species